rnacentral:rRNA from 1 species
UUGGUUAAGUUAGAAAGGGCGCACGGUGGAUGCCUUGGCACUAGGAGCCGAAGAAGGACGGGACUAACACCGAUAUGCUUUGGGGAGCUGUACGUAAGCGUUGAUCCAGAGAUUUCCGAAUGGGGGAACCCACUAUCUUUAGUCGGAUAGUAUCCUUACGUGAAUACAUAGCGUGAGGAAGGCAGACCCAGGGAACUGAAACAUCUAAGUACCUGGAGGAAGAGAAAGAAAAAUCGAUUUCCUGAGUAGCGGCGAGCGAAACGGAAAGAGCCCAAACCAAGAAGCUUGCUUCUUGGGGUUGUAGGACACUCUAUACGGAGUUACAAAAGAAAGUUAUAAAUGAAGCGGUCUGGAAAGGCCCGCCAAAGACGGUAACAGCCCGGUAGUUGAAAUAGCUUUCCCUCCAGAGUGGAUCCUGAGUACGGCGGAACACGUGAAAUUCCGUCGGAAUCCGGGAGGACCAUCUCCCAAGGCUAAAUACUCCCUAGUGACCGAUAGUGAACCAGUACCGUGAGGGAAAGGUGAAAAGCACCCCGGAAGGGGAGUGAAACAGUUCCUGAAACCGUGUGCCUACAAGUAGUUAGAGCCCGUUAAUGGGUGAUAGCGUGCCUUUUGUAGAAUGAACCGGCGAGUUACGAUUUGUUGCAAGGUUAAGCGGAAAAAGCGGAGCCGUAGCGAAAGCGAGUCUGAAUAGGGCGCAUAAGUAACAGGUCGUAGACCCGAAACCAGGUGAUCUACCCAUGUCCAGGAUGAAGGUAAGGUAAUACUUACUGGAGGUCCGAACCCACGCACGUUGAAAAGUGCGGGGAUGAGGUGUGGGUAGCGGAGAAAUUCCAAUCGAACUUGGAGAUAGCUGGUUCUCUCCGAAAUAGCUUUAGGGCUAGCCUCGAGGUAAAGAGUCAUGGAGGUAGAGCACUGUUUGGACUAGGGGCCCUUCUCGGGUUACCGAAUUCAGAUAAACUCCGAAUGCCAUGUACUUAUACUCGGGAGUCAGACUGCGAGUGAUAAGAUCCGUAGUCGAAAGGGAAACAGCCCAGACCACCAGUUAAGGUCCCCAAAUAUAUGUUAAGUGGAAAAGGAUGUGGGGUUGCUUAGACAACCAGGAUGUUGGCUUAGAAGCAGCCACCAUUGAAAGAGUGCGUAAUAGCUCACUGGUCGAGUGACCCCGCGCCGAAAAUGUACCGGGGCUAAACAUAUUACCGAAACUGUGGAUGAACCUCUUUAGAGGUUCGUGGUAGGAGAGCGUUCUAAGGGCGGUGAAGUCAGACCGGAAGGACUGGUGGAGCGCUUAGAAGUGAGAAUGCCGGUAUGAGUAGCGAAAGAAGGGUGAGAAUCCCUUCCACCGAAUAUCUAAGGUUUCCUGAGGAAGGCUCGUCCGCUCAGGGUUAGUCGGGACCUAAGCCGAGGCCGAUAGGCGUAGGCGAUGGACAACAGGUAGAGAUUCCUGUACCAGUGCUAAUUGUUUAACCGAUGGGGUGACACAGAAGGAUAGGGAAUCGCACGAAUGGAAAUGUGCGUCCAAGCAGUGAGUGUGAGAAGUAGGCAAAUCCGCUUCUCGCGAAGCAUGAGCUGUGAUGGGGAAGGAAAUUAAGUACGGAAGUUCCUGAUUUCACGCUGUCAAGAAAAGCCUCUAGGAAGAGUAGUACUGCCCGUACCGCAAACCGACACAGGUAGAUGAGGAGAGAAUCCUAAGGUGAGCGAGAGAACUCUCGUUAAGGAACUCGGCAAAAUGACCCCGUAACUUCGGGAGAAGGGGUGCUCUAUUAGGGUGCAAGCCCGAGAGAGCCGCAGUGAAUAGGCCCAGGCGACUGUUUAGCAAAAACACAGGUCUCUGCAAAACCGUAAGGUGACGUAUAGGGGCUGACGCCUGCCCGGUGCUGGAAGGUUAAGAGGAGUGCUUAGCUUCGGCGAAGGUACGAAUUGAAGCCCCAGUAAACGGCGGCCGUAACUAUAACGGUCCUAAGGUAGCGAAAUUCCUUGUCGGGUAAGUUCCGACCCGCACGAAAGGCGCAACGAUCUGGGCACUGUCUCAACGAGAGACUCGGUGAAAUUAUAGUACCUGUGAAGAUGCAGGUUACCCGCGACAGGACGGAAAGACCCCGUGGAGCUUUACUGCAACCUGAUAUGGAAUGUUUGUACCGCUUGUACAGGAUAGGUAGGA